rnacentral:rRNA from 1 species
AUUGAACGCUGGCGGAAUGCUUUACACAUGCAAGUCGAACGGCAGCACGGGUGCUUGCACCUGGUGGCGAGUGGCGAACGGGUGAGUAAUACAUCGGAACGUACCCAGUUGUGGGGGAUAACUAACCGAAAGGUUAGCUAAUACCGCAUACGACCUGAGGGUGAAAGCGGGGGACCGUAAGGCCUCGCGCAAUUGGAGCGGCCGAUGUCUGAUUAGCUAGUUGGUAAGGUAAAGGCCUACCAAGGCGACGAUCAGUAGCUGGUCUGAGAGGAUGAUCAGCCACACUGGAACUGAGACACGGUCCAGACUCCUACGGGAGGCAGCAGUGGGGAAUUUUGGACAAUGGGCAAAAGCCUGAUCCAGCCAUUCCGCGUGAGUGAAGAAUGCCUUCGGGUUGUAAAGCUCUUUCGGCAGGGAAGAAACGGCCUAGGUUAAUACCUUGGGCUAAUGACGGUACCUGAAGAAGAAGCACCGGCUAACUACGUGCCAGCCGCCGCGGUAA